CUUUCCGUAGGUGAACCUGCAGAUGGAUCAUCGCUGAAAACCUUAUGGUUAUGCUUUGGUCACGAGAGAUCGGUGCUACCGGAAUCAGGCUUGCUCCUCGAUUUCGAUCGGUAUCUCACCCCCAUCUAAGCUCUCGGAGAGGUGUCUAAUCCCAAUCGGAGUCGCUUUGAGUGACGGCAAUGAGGAUUGGGUGUGCCAUACCCCAUACGUGGGGUAGAGCAUAGACGUUAGGAACAGUGCUCGGACUGUCGCCUCACCAACCGUCGAUUACUGGUGGCUAUGAGUGACUUCGGUCACUCGAGAUCUGCUAUGCAGAGAGUCUCAAUGAGUUGUGUUCGUCCAACCGCCGGUGUCGAUAGAAAUUUUUUCCUAUUAACUUGUUUCCUGAUUCGUGUUAAUACAUUUUGGCACAAUGUAUUAGCUUCAGCGAUGGAUCGGUUGAUUCGCGUAUCGAUGAAAAACGCAGCAAGCUGCGUUAUUUACCACGAAUUGCAGACGCUUAGAGUGGUGAAGUUUUGAACGCACAGCGCCGUUGGGUUUUCCCUUCGGCACGUCUGGCUCAGGGUUGUUUAUAUAGAGUACUGCGGUGUUGCUCCGAGAGUAGCAAUGUCGAGUGUCGAACGGCGUUAGUGUUGGCUACUGGCCCCGUUCUAGUUCCGAAUAUUGGCAACAUGUCAUCACGUCUUCGUGACGACGCCGUAGAGAGUAUAAGUCUGUACCUGUGGAUGUGUAGCGUAUGAAAUAUGAUGCUUCCCAUACAUAGCGAGGAGGUGCCUCUUAUACUAUCUUGCUUAUGCAACCUGAGCUCAGUCGUGAUUACCCGCUGAACUUAAGCAUAU
rnacentral:rRNA from 1 species